UCAAAUAUACAGACCCAUUGGGCGUACGUCCCGUGUCCAUAGCGUCAUUGCUUUGCUGACCGCUGGGUACCCUUUUGGCCAGUCUGACUCCAUGUUCCCAUUCUUUGCGGACUUUGCCUUGCCGGUUCGCCGCCAUUGAUCCAAUUAACCUUUUUGUAGUUGCAAUCAGCGUCAGCAAAAUCAUUAAUAUUA
rnacentral:misc_RNA from 1 species